rnacentral:lncRNA from 10 species
UUUAGUUUCUCAAUUCAUCCAAAACCAUAUCCAGGCCAUCAUCAAUCAUUCUAUAUGACAAAUGCUCCUUCGAACAACCCCACAAUAUCACCCCUUACCACAAAAUCUUCCUUCAACUUAAUGUCUCCCACUCUAGGUUCCCACCCCCCACUUGAAGCAGCCCUGAGAAACAUCGCCCAUUAUCUCUCCAUGCCACCCCCCAAAAAAUUUUCACUGCCCCAACACUUCAAUACAAUUUUAUGUUAUUUUUCUUAUUAAUAUAAGAAGGCAGGAAUGUCAGGCCUCUGAGCCCAAGCUAAGCCAUCAUAUCCCCUGUGACCUGCACGUAUAUGUCCAGAUAGCCUGAAGCAAGUGAAGAAUCACAAAAGAAGUGAAAAUGGCCGGUUCCUGCCUUAACUGAUGACAUUCCACCAUUGUGAUUUGUUCCUGCCCCACCUUAACUGAGCAACUAACCUUGUGAAAGUCCUUCUCCUGGCUCAGAAGCUCACCCACUGAGCACCUUGUGAUCCCCGCCCCUGCCCACAAGAGAACAACCCCCUUUGACUGUAAUUUUCCACUACCCACCCAAAUCCUAUAAAACAGUCCCAUCCCUCUCUCCCUUUGCUGAUUCUCUUUUUGCACUCAGCCUGCCUGCACCCAGGUGAUUAAAAAGCUUUAUUGCUCAUACAAAGCCUGUUUGGUGGUCUCUUCACAUGGACAUGCCUGAAAACUGCCACACCUGAGGUGCAGGGAUAAGAAGGGUGGCACAGGGAUCCCAGCCUGAGGCUGUUUCUGAAGGCUAUACAGGAGGCAUGGCACCAGCAUCUGCUCAGCUUCUGGGGAGCCCUCAGGAAGCUUCCAAUCAUGGUGGAAGGUGAAGAGGGAGCUGUCAUCUCACAUCGUGAGAGCAGGAACAAGAGUCUGAGGGACUUCUACACUGCUGGUGUGAAUGUAAACUAGUACAACCACUACGGAAAACAGUGUGGAGAAAAGUAGAACUACAAUUUGAUCCAGCAAUCCCACUACUGGGCAUCUACCCAGAGGAAAAGAAGUCAUUAUAUGAAAAAGAUACUUGCACAUGCAUGUUUAUAGCAGCGCAAUUUUCAAUUGCAAAAACGUGGAACCAACCCAAAUGCCCACCGAUUAACAAGUGGAUAAAGAAACUGUGGUGUAUAUAUGAUAGAAUACUACUCAGCCAUAAAUGGAAUGAAUUAAUGGCAUUUACAGUGACCUGGAUGAGACUGGAGACUAUUAUUCUAAGUGAAGUAACUCAGGGAUGGAAAACCAAACAUCAUAUUCUUUCACUCCUAUGAGGAUGCAAAGGUAUAGGAAUGACACAAUAGACUUUGGGGACUCAGGGGAAAGGUGGGAAGGGGGUGAGGGAUAAAAGACUACAAAUUGGGUGCAGUAUGUACUGCUUGGGUGAUGGGUGCACCAAAAUCUCACAAGUCACCACCAAAGAACUUACUCAUGUAAUCAAAUACCAUCUGCUCCCCAAUAACGUACGGAAAUAAAAAAAAUUAAAAAAAAGAGUCUGAAGGGGAAGAUGCCACACACUCUUAAACAGCCAGAUCUUGCAAUAACUCACUCACUAUUGCAAGGAUAGCAUGAAGAGGACGGCGCUAAACCAUUCUUGAGAAAUCCACCUCCAUGAUACAAUCACCUCCCACCACGGCCCACCUCCAACACUGGGGAUUACAAUUUAACGUGAGACGUAGAGAGGACAACAUCCAAACUAUAUCAAUAGUAUUUGUUGCAUUUUUUUGCAUUUCCUAAUAAAAACUUAAAUAUGUGAGCUAUCCAAACAAACAUAUCCAAAUGGGCCCCAAUAUUUAUAACUUAUAAUAUGGUAGUGACUCAUGAGGAAGAAAUGAUAGGGGCAGGAGGGCAUUUGAGAAGGCAACAGUGUACAGGGCUCUGCAGGAGGCCCUGAGGUCACACAGUACACUGGAAAAGACUCCAGACUCCCUGGGAUGGAGGCUGCAGGGAUGGGGAAGAAAAGUGGAUCCAGGAGGCCUGGGUUCUAGUCUUCCUCCACAGCUAAAAACUUAGUGCUCUGGACAAGCCCUUCAUCUCCCUGGGCCUCAGGUGUCUCAUCUAUAAAAUGAGCAUGCUUGGACCUUAUCUGGAAGAAAUGCUUUCCUGAUGUUCUUUCCAGGGCUUGCCAUGCUUAUUUCUUGCACUCUAGGAUUAAGGACAAGUAUUUUCAGUUCUCCCUACUACUGGCUGGCUGUGUGAGCCAUUUCUCUGCAAACAGGAGUAUUCUUGCUGUUCCUCUGGUCAAUCCAGAAGCUCAUGGGAAAGUGCUCUGCAAUCUUGAACAGGAAGCAAGGAAUGUGUCAUCCCUACUAAGAUCACCUUUCCUCUUCUCCUGUUCUCAGAGAUCCCCAGAAGCACCCCUGGGUCAACAGCCACCUUUGCCGGUAUUGACUGGGAAGAGUCCCCAAGAGUGGUAUUGGGUCCAGGCAGUUGUAGCACAUGAACCCUUGUGAGUGGAGGUUGACCUUCAGGAUGGUGGUGCUCACCCCGCUGAAGGAUUCUGGGCAAACUAAGCAAAGGGUUAGUUUACAAUUUUCCCUCCUGGUUUUUUUUUUUUUUUUUCCCUUGGAGGCUUAAAGAAGAACAAAUUCUUAUCCGCAGUAUCCUGUUCCCAGACUCCCAUCUUCUUGCCUCCCCAUGGGUCCUUAGCCUCCCUUAAAUCCUUUAGAAAAGAGCUGGCUCCCAGAAGAUACGGGGAGAACUGCAAUUUGCCCUUUUCCAAAGCCUAUCAUUCAUUCUGGGUCUUUUUCUCAUCCCCUCGCUUCCAGUUCUAAUUUGGUGCCUGGGGCCGCUCUCUUCUUGAAUGAUUAGAACCAGAGGGCAAUCAAAAAGAAACGAACUUAAUGCAGAGGAGAGAGGGGAGCCAGCAGCUUUGGGGACAUUUCUCUUCCCUCAAGGGAUGAGGUAGAUUUUCCUAAAUCUAUAAUUAACAAGAUGAAAAAAGACACUUCAAGAAUUCAUAACUCUCGGAAAAUACUCCAGUUUGGGAAACACUGGUCUGGAACUUGUGGUGAGUCAGCUCUUGAUUCGUGAAGACAGAGAUGCACAGUUACCACAUUGAGAAGAUAGUAGAUGAUGUAAACCCAUUGGAGAAAUGGAAACUUUCCCAUGGGAAAGGCUGCAUGGGUGGAGGAAGCAGUCCUCUGGUGGAAUAGAAUGAUAACAUACCAUUCAUCACAGCCCCAGGUAUUGUGCUAAGUGCUUCACAUUUAACUCAUACAACCACCCAUGAAGUAGGUCCAAUUAUUAGCCCCAUUUUGCAGGUGAAGAAAUAGAACCAUGCAAAUCUAUGCAGUUUUCCUAAGACCCUACAGCCAGUUAAAGCCACCGAAGCAACAAAUGCUGACAUCUAGAAGAAUGUGUGAAUAGGUGGCUGGAGUCAACAAACGCCUAAUUAAUCAAUUGGUGUCAUCUUAUACACCCAUCCCUCCAAAAGUUGCUAUUAUUUACUUUCCCUGGCCCCAGAAAAAGGGAGACCCCAGGACAGUGUCCUGGACUGGAAUUAGGACUGCUCCAUUCUAUAAACAGGUCAGCCCCUCAUUCUGUGUGUGACCUUGAGUGAGUGAGACCCUUCCUGAUCCUAGGUCUUGGUCUCUACAUCUGUCAGAGGAGGUAGUGAGACCAGCUGGCUUCGAAAGUUCAACCCAGUCCCACCGUUCCAGUACAUGCCAGUCUACCUGACUCCAUGGGGGAGGUUUUGGGGGUGGGGUGGAUCUUCACGUUGCAGCUGCUGUUUAUGACUUUUCCAAGGCCCCUCCUGCCUGGGCUCCUCGCCCCCGUGCUUGGCAUGCUUGGCUCUGUCUUGCAGCGAAGCGAGCUGUGUAGGAGUUUCUAGCUGCCUGUCUCUUUUGGGUUCUCCCUUUUGGGAUGUCUUUUCACACCUCCAAGUGCUGGGUGGGAGUGGACGAAUGCCACAUGUUUGGCUCUGAUGCCUUCCUUUCCCCUCUGUGGGAUGCUUCCAGCCCAAGAUCUGAGCAUGGAUGCCUCUGUGCUGACCCUUUGUGAGGCUGCUGGGUCAUGUCUGCAGAGCAGCAACCCAUCACCACAGCACUCUUCCUUACUCCCGGAAGGCCAGCAGAAGCUGCUCCUUUGCUGGAGCUUGUCCCCACCCAAUGGAGGGGGCUGAUUAAUUAUGUAGCCUCAGGCAAGUCACAUCUCCUCAUUGGGCCUCAGUUUUUACAUUUGUAAAAUGAAAGGAUUAGACCAGACAGGCCCCUAGGAUACUCCCAACUCUAAUGUUGUGCAGUUUAUUUCAUUUCUGUUUGUUUCAUGUCAUUCCCAGUGCCCUCAUAUCCUUCGUGUCUUGUAGACAUCAUAUCUGCCAGCUGAGAUUUUUAGCUGCUUCAAACACCCCACUGGAGGGACAUAUCUCAGCAUGCUAAGAUGAAUAUUUUGUUGGAAUAACUUGCUAUUAAAA